rnacentral:lncRNA from 1 species
GGAGAGGUGAGAGAUGUAGUCCCUGGGUGUGUGGGAAAUUCCUUCCGAGUGCUUUAGUAUUUUUUCUCUUGUGUUGUAAAUUCCUUUGUAUUUUCUUUGUGGUUAGUCAAAGAGGGUGCUGUAAAAAGGUGAAAGAGGGAAAUACUUGUAAGAGUGUCGGGUGGUGUAUUGGGGAUAUCUUGUAGAAAAGAGGGUCUAUAUGAUUGUAACAAUUUUUCUUAUAGUGGAAUUCUUUUCUGGGGCCCGUAGUUUUUUCUCCCGAUUUGGGGGAGUUUUUCCACGUUAAAUCGUGUGUCCUGUUUUUCUGUUCAAAUUAUCCUGUUAUUUUGACAUUUCAAUGAUUUUUUCUCCCGGUUUGGGGGAGUUUUUCCACGUUAAAUCGUGUGUCCUGUUUUCUUUCUGUUCAAAUUAUCCUGUUAUUUUGACAUUUCAAAAGGAAACCCGAUCUUUGGGUAAUAAAGUAGAAAGGGGUUAAUUUUCCGUUGAGGGGUUAUUAUCCCUACAAGUGGUAUCAGAGUUGAGGCCAGGGCUUCGAUACAGUGGAGCUUGUUAUGGUGGAGCUUGGUUGGCAAGGGAAAUGUCAGGAAAUAAUUGUUCAAGUGGUAAAGCUUGAGGUGGAGAAAUUUGACGGAGGUAUUUUUAUUUGCUGUUCGUGCAGAUAGGGUGGACACGGAAAAAGAAAGGUGGAGCGGGUUCGGCUAAAUGCUCCAAUGUUUGAUUGGUGUUGCCGGCAUAUGGUGACUGAAUCAUGUUUACACACGGACAUGGCGGUGAUGCAAGGUGCAAGGUGUGUGAUGAUGUCGAUGGCUGAUGGACUUCCGGGUUGGUCAAACAGGGGAAGUAACACAUAAAUUAUCAGCAUGUUUUUUCGACAUGAGCCGAGGUGAAAUUCUUAAAAUGCGAUUUCUAAGUGUGUAUACUCAUAUGGUGGAGUAUGAUUGUUGGUGUAGACAAUGUGAAGCAUAAAUUAUCAGCAGGUUUUUUCGACAUGAGCCGAGAUGAAAUUCUUAGAAUGCGAUUUCUAAGUGUGUACCCCAAAGGAGAGGCGAGAGACGUAGUCCCUGGGUGUGUGUGAAAUUCCUCCCGAGUGCUUUAGUAUUUUUUCUCUUCUGUUGUAAAUUCCUUUGUAUUUUCUUUGUGGUUAGUCAAAGAGGGUGUUGUACAAAGGUGAAAGAGGGAAAUACUUGUAAGAGUUUCGGGUGGUGUAUUGGGGAUAUCUUGUAGAAAAGAGGGUCUAUAAGAUUGUAACAAUUUUUCUUA